UAAUACGUAGGUGGCAAGCGUUGUCCGGAUUUACUGGGCGUAAAGAGCGCGCAGGCGGUCUUGUAAGUCGAAUGUGAAAGCCCCUGGCUCAACCAGGGAGGGUCAUUCGAUACUGCUUGACUCGAAGGCAGGAGAGGGAAGUGGAAUUCCGGGUGUAGUGGUGAAAUGCGUAGAUAUCCGGAGGAACACCAGUGGCGAAGGCGACUUUCUGGCCUGUUCUUGACGCUGAGGCGCGAAAGCUAGGGGAGCAAACGGG
rnacentral:rRNA from 1 species